AUGGGAGAAAAUAGUUUUAGCUAUGUCGCGAACAUACAUACCACUGACUGGAUUAAGAGUUUUGUCGGUUUGCCAGAGCAUCUUCCUUUGAACUAAGAGUCACCACAGGGCACGUCGUCGGUCAUCUCACCUGGACGCUCGAAAACCGGCAGUGACGAGACCCAUUUGAUCAACCCCAGAUUUCGUCGUUUUACCGUGCUAACUGAUGCUGUGUUGGCACAGAUGUAACAACACAGCCCUCACCGACGUGAUCGAUACUUUCUAUUCCUCAGGAAGG